rnacentral:lncRNA from 1 species
GCAGUAUCAGCUGGCAGUCUGCAGAGUCCAAGACCCACAGCAGAGUCGAGUCAAAAAGAAUGGCUCUGGAGCUGAGAGAUGCUCCUUCAGUAGCCAGCACAAGGAGCAAAACUUGCUUUUCCCAUUGGCUUGGCUUCCUGUAUCACCUCCAGAAAGUAGAGAUUCCACAAGUUUCCUGAUUCUUGAGCUUGCUUGAUCUAGAGAAGAUGAAGAAAUGGCCCACACCACAGCAUGCUCUGGAGAUCAUUAAUCAAAAGAUUAACCCCAAGCUAACUACUGCCAAUCCUUCUCUUUUUGCUGAGGAAGACUGGCCCUGAGCUAACAUCCAUGCACAUCUUCCUCUACUUGAUACAUGGGACACAUACCACAGCAUGGCUUUUGCCAAGCAGUGCUGUGUCCGUACCUGGGAUCCGAACCGGCGAACCCCGGGCCGCCAAGAAGUGGAACGUGCAAACUUGACUGCUGCGCCACCGGGCCAGCCCACCUUGGCUUAUUCUUGACAUCAGUUGACAGUGAGCUGUCUUGGAGGAUAGGCCCAUGUUGGAUUCUCUCUCUUCACUGGCACCUGAAAAAAAGAUUUACAUGGCCGGCCCCGUGGCCGAGUGGUUAAGUUCGUGCGCUCUGCUUCGAUGGCCCAGGGUUUUGCCGGUUCGGAUCCUGGGUGCGGACAUGGCACAGCUCAUCAAGCCACGCUGAGGCAGCGUCCCACAUGCCACAGCUAGAAGGACCCACAACUAAAAUAUACAACUAUGUACCGGGGGGCUUUGGGGAGAAA